rnacentral:rRNA from 1 species
ACGGAGGAUGCAAGCGUUAUUCGGAUUCAUUGGGUUUAAAGGGUGCGUAGGCGGAAUGAUAAGUCAGUGGUGAAAGCCUCCGGCUCAACCGGAGAAGUGCCAUUGAAACUGUCGAUCUUGAGUACACUUGGAGUGGGCGGAAUUUGCAGUGUAGAGGUGAAAUGCGUAGAGAUCAGAAUGAACACCAAUCGCGAAGGCAACCAACUUAAUUGUAACUGACGCUGAGACACGAAAGCGUGGGGAGCAAACAG